rnacentral:tRNA from 2 species
UCUAGAUCACAGGUGCAAACCCUGUACAUCUCAC